rnacentral:tRNA from 1 species
AGUAUAGCGCCGGAACGAACGGAUUAUAUUGAUGUUAUAAAUCAUAAGAUUAAAUUCUUCUAUACUU